rnacentral:piRNA from 1 species
GGCCGAGAGGACAAUAUUAGGUCUUCUGGA